UUUUCUUUUUCUUUUUUUUCUUUCAUUUCUUUCGUCUUCUUGCUUUGCAGGUACCUGCAACUUGGGCGAACCCAUGUCCUGCCCCUCCUCUGCAUAUCAUGACAGCAGCUCCAUCGAUCAUUAGAAUUCGCAUCAUCUUCUACUUCACGGCAAACCCAUACGGACGGAACCAACCAUUUCUUCUUUUCCAUUUUCCUUUCCUUUCGUUUUUUUUUCCUCUUCCUGUCUUUUGGUGCUUCUACAGUCGGCUAUCCAGGUUGAAGCCCAUGCCCUGCAUCCUCUGCAACAUGCGACCAUCAACCUCAUCUUUUCUCUCCAUUUCGAAGCCAUCAACAAACCAGCUAAUCCCCCUCUCUCUCUUUUCUCUCAGAACUCUCUCUCUCUCUCUUUCUCUCUCUCUCUCUCUUUCUCUUUCUCUUUGGCUCGGGCAAAUAGCGGGAAGGGAAAAAAAAAAGAAAUCAGAACAGAGAGCAGACGGGAAAAAAAAAAAGGGAAAGAGAACAGAACAGAAAGAGGGGAGCUCACCAUCUAGUUUUUCCCUCAACUCACAUUCACCUGGCUUCUCCUCUCACAGCUCACAGAACCCUUUCCCCGAGCUCACACAAUUUCACCGUGGUUAUCAGAAUCGUGAUUCGAAUUGUAAAAUCGUACAAUUCUACGAUUCGAGGGAGGGUAACCGAUUUCGAAUCUAUGGGCUGAGUCUAGGACGUAGAAUCGAGGGUGAAUCGGGCCCAGAAUAGCGGACUCGAUUUUACGAUUCUGGAUUUAGCCCAGACGCGAGAGAAGCUCAGCUCAAAGUUGGGCCCUCGGGCGAAGGCCAUACCAAAGUCGGGCCGAAGCCCAACCCAUAGCCCAACGGCCUUAUUUCCACCCCUUUCCCUUUCUUCUUCACCAAAUCACCAACAUUUGCCCUUUUCUUCUAAUCUUCCAGACUCCAUUGCUCAUUUCUUCUUCAUUGAUCGACGAAUUUACCCUAAUCCUCCCUCCGACCAGGUACUUUCUCCGUCCGAGUUUCGACCAGACCAGGUAGAGCCUUGUCUCGUUGUGCCCGAGCUUCGACCAUCGAGCUUCGACCAGACCAGGUAAGAGUAUUGUUGUGCCUUGAGCUUCGACCGUCCGACUUCGACCAGACCAGGUAGAGUCUUGCUCUGCCCGAGUUUCGACCAUCCGAGCUUUCGACUAACCCUGCCUAAGCUUUGACAGACCCUGCCCAAGCUUCGACCGUGGGAGCUUUGAUUAGACCAGAUCAUUGUCCCAACUCCCGAAGCUAUGUUGUUGUUGUUCGGUCUCCAUUUAGACUCCGAUAUCACGCUGUUGUUGGGGCUUAUUCCAAGGUCGCUACGGAGCUGCCAUUCCUUCCUGGGCCCCUUGCCGUUGCCGGAUCGAUGUUGUUGUUACUGUGCUGCCCUCAUGACGCUCUGAAGCCACUGUCCAGAUCGCCUCCAUGUAGUUAUAGCUGCUUUGUUGCAUUUUUGGGCUCUCCGUUUUGCAGGUUGGAAUGCACCUAAAUAGCAUUUGCAUGUGUCGGUUCAAGGAAAGCUCAAAGGCUUGUGUGAUUCCUUCAGGCACAAGCACGGAAGAGGUGAUUGACUCAAGCUCAGUGGCCUGACUAGGGCUCUUCCAUUGCAUAAUUUUGUCGAUGACGUGAUGAAAUGUGUGCUUUAAUUGAAUUAAGAUAGCACGAAGCGGAUUAUUAAUUAAAUCCGACUUUUGAAAUUCGGCAUGUUAUGAUCAAGACCAGCUCAAGCAUGAAUUUAAUGUUUUA